GUUCGAUCGUGCCUUUGUCGAGAGUCGAUAUGUUAACGGUUUUGUGCUAUUUUCUUUCCCCACAUGGCAUGAUGGAAGGAUUGCUUUGUUGAAGAGCAGUAUCACAGCUGAUAUCUUUCUCUCACAAAAAUAGGCAGGGUGUUGGAGCGCGAUCAACUGCUACAUAAAGGCUGAGGUUUUGUUCUAAAAGUGUCUUGCAAUGGCAGCCUGCAAACUGGACAGGUAGAUUGCUUUCUCAGCCAUACAUCAAUGCAGGAGAGAUGAAAACUGUGACCACAUUUGGGAAAUUUGGUAAUGAAUUGAAAGUUGUACUCACUGAGCAUCUUCUACAGAACUGAAAGCCUCCAGGUCGAACUUCAUCGUUGGUAUAGCAGCUAUGAGAACCGGUUCGAGACCACUCACCCGAGACUCUGGCUGGCAUCAAACAACAAAAGAAUCAAGAGACUUGUCAUUUUGUCAUACAGAUAAAUACAAAUAACACGCUGCAGAUCCGGAUUAAGAGAGAAGCAGCCAUUAUUUCUUACCUGCUGCUCAAGAUCAACCCUGGAUUCAA